rnacentral:lncRNA from 1 species
AAAUUGAAAAGCCAAAAUAAUCAUUGAUGAGAGAUUUAACCAAAAAAAUUAAGGUGAGCGAUUCAGGCUCUUGAGAGCCUCUUGUUUUGAAAGUUUAAGAAUGAGGUAGGUUUCUUCUUACAGAACAUGUCAACUUCAAUGUCAUUUGGUCCUUGGUGGAGAGUUGUCUCAUUGGCAUUCAUACCACAUCUUUUUAUUUUAAUGUGUAUAGAAAUUCUAAAAUAAAGAUUUCAAACUUAAGAAAGCUCAGUUAGCAACAAUAGGAGGAUAGAACAAACCCCUGAUAAAUAAAUGUUGCAUUAUUUUUCAAAACUAUUAAAAAACAAGAUAUAAAGCAAUGUUGGCAUUUAUAUCACUGUGUCAGUCAAUUUUGUAAAUAUUACAUGUUUAGUGCCACACUUAUCAUAAUGCUGUAUUAGCUGACAGUAUAUAUUUAAACUUAGUGCUGUUACCUCACCUGAAUUAAGGACUAUUUGAGGAUUAUCAUGUGUCAUCUAUUCGACUAUCAUUUGUUUACAUUCAAUAUUAUUAAUGUCAUCUUAUGAAUGGUACUUUUUUGGCAUGGAAGAACUAGAAAAUGGAAAAAGGGUAUCUGUCAAAAUUUAGGUCUUAAAAAAAGUCUAAUGAAAAUUAGUUAAUUACACUAUUUAGUACAAUCAAAUUUUAAAAGUUUCAUACUGACAACUUCCUGGUUAUUAACAGUUUCUACAUGACACUUUAACUUGUGUGUUCCAGAACUGUGUAUGUAAAUACUUUUGACAGAAGGUGAUAUUUAGUAAUGUUGGAAAUAAAAUUUAAGAUUGUUGCAGCAGAAUAAAAUUUUUAAUGCAAUGUAAUUCAUCUGGCACGAAAAAUGCCUGUUUUGGUAUAAUAUUUUGUUUAUUUAUACAUGCAAGCCUAUGUAUUUACUUGAUAUUAAAUUGUAUAUAAUAUUCAUUUAUGCCAUCUAUUGUACAUUUUUCAAGAUGAGAUUGUCAAUAUUAUUAUUGGGCUUUGACCUUUUACUUUGUUUGAGGUCAUAUGCAAUGUUCUUGAUGCAUUUGAAAAUACUGAGAACGGAAAGUAGGUUAUGGAAAACUAUUUUUUUUCUAAAAAAAAAUGUAUGCUGAAUAUAUAUAUCUACAUAUUACUUCUUUAUAACAAAUUCUUCAAAAUAAAUUUUCAUUGAUAUUUGUAGGCUGUAUUUUAAUUAUAAUUGAAAAAAAAGUUACAUUGAAGACCUUCUAUUAAUGGAGAUAAAUAGCAAUUUUUUCAAUAUCCAUUUAUUUUAUUUGAUCUGAAAUGUAAAUCAUAAAUUGGAGUGCAUUCAGCAAUUUUGUCAAUUAACUAACAAAAAUAUAUGUAUAACUCGACCUUAAAUAAGACAAAGAAACAAAAUGUUAUAGUAUAGUUUAAUAACCUGUCUGUCUGUUUGAUAUCUCUAUGUGUAAUUUUAGUUUAAGAAAAAUAUGAUGUUGUAUGGUAGUUGCUACUGUCUUUUGUUUAUGUUUAUGACAGCAAUACAUUUAUUAAUGGUUUUCACUUGUUUAUUGAAGAGACAAGUGUACUCAGGAUAUUUUAAUUCAGAAAUCUAUUCAAAAGUACAAAAUACAAUUACUGUCAACUUAGUUCCACUGAAAACUUUGUUAUAAACAAUGUCCUGUUGGAAUAAAUAUUCUAUACCAUUUAUUCCGUUAGGAACAUUUACCGAAAUAAUUCCAGUGGAAAUAAUAUUCCAAAAUAUUAUUUCCAUUUGGAACUUAUAUUAUGAAGAAACUUCUAUUCUGUGACAUUACAAAUGUAUAGAUGUUAAAAUUUCAACCAAUGUAUUUACUAACUGUCUGUAUAAGGUGAGAUGAAAACAGCAAUUUUUGUACAGUUAAACUUUGUGUAGAAACAGCUUAAAUGGUGAUAAUAUGUGCUUCCAUCUGACAAUUAUAGGCGAAAAUACAUCAGUCAGUAUUGUUCUGUGAUAUAUCAUGUGAUAUAAGUAUGCCACCUGUUGUAGUCAUGUGACCUUCAUUGCAAUUCAUCCAUUCUGUAGUCAUGUGACCUUCAUUGCAAUUAAUCAAUGUUGUAGUCAUGUGACCUUCAUUGCAAAUCAUCCAUGUUGUAGUCAUGUGACCUUCAUUGCAAAUCAUCCAUGUUAAAGUCAUGUGACCUUCAUUGCAAAUCAUCCAUGCUGUAUUAUAGGUUGUCAAAAGUUUUAUUUUGUGAAAUAUAAGUAUAUUGUCAUCUCAGAGACGGCAUUAAAACUUUUAAUGACCACAACAUUUUAUGUUAAACUGCAAUAUAUAAAAUAAAAAAAAUUGGUCAUGUAAAGAUUGAUUAUUUUAUAUGUUGAGGAAUACAUGUAAUAAAAGUGGUAUAGAAGUUAAAAUUUUGAAAUCUAUCCAUAAAUAAUUCUUCAUCUAUAGAAAUGAAUUUUCUUGAAGUAAACUAAUACAACGAUAUGUUUCUUACAGAACCAUUAAAGAACAUUGAAGGUCAAAAACUAGUAUGGAAUAAUCAAAGUUAACAUUAUCAGAGGCACACUUGAAUUCGACGUAUUAUUUCAUUGAUUAUGUCCUAUAUUCUCAAACUUGGAAACCUUGAUAUUUUUUAUAGGACAUCAUAACACUGCCACAGAAAGCUUAUACAUUUUUUUUUGUCAAAAAUGUACUGAAUAACUGUAUGCAUGCUCUUUUUUACCUCAUUUAUAGAAAAUGCAUAAUGUACACAUUGUCAUAAUUAUUUUUAUUUCAUUAUGUAGAUACUCUUAAGGAUAACACUUGCUUUUAACUGGACAAUAAUACUUGACCAUAGCAAACACUUAAUACUACAUAUUUGAAUACAUGACUUUUAAAAAACUGAAGUCCAUAAUGCCAUUUUCAAUUCUAAUUCAGACAUGCAAGAAUUUUUAAUUAUAUGUAUAUUGUCUUACCCAUUGUCAAAUAAACUUGAUGUUUCUUGGUUUUACAUUGUAUUAAUAAAGGUAUUUUAUAGAGACAGUUAUCAGUAAUGAACAUUUUUAAAGUAAACCUUUGUAAGAGAUCCAACUUGAUUUACCUUGUUCUGUGAAGUAUUAUACUGACUUACCAAAUCAUUCAAGUGAAUGAUUAUUUUAAACAAUAAAAGGAUGUGAUUUGACAUUGUAUGUACCUAGAUAUUGAAUGUACCAUUGUAAACUUUCCAACUUUAUACAAUUAUGAGUAGACCUCAAAUAAACAAUUAGUUUAUAAAAAUCUUAAAUUACUUCCUAUUGACCUUUCUGGUCUUUUUAUGUGAUAUAUGGCUACUGUGUGGAUCUUAAAAAAACUUAGAAGAUGGUAUGGAUGGGAGUGUGGAUCUUCUUUUCUUUAACUUUUGUUCUUCUUUAUUCUAUAUUCUAUAUUCUUUUUGACUAUAUUCUAUAUAUUUUUUUUUUGUUCUCUCGUUCACCUAUUCUAUAUUCUUCAUAUUCAAUCACUCAUUAUUCUUUUUUUGUCCAUUUUUCUCUUUUCUUUAUUUUUUGCCCUUUAAUCUAUCUGUAUAAAAACCCUAUCUAUUCCUCUUCUAUGUUAAAUCCAGUUUGAAAUUGACCAACAUUUUAAAGUAUUUCAUUUUAGAAAGGCAAGUAGUCAAAGAAUGGAAAAGAAGUCAUCUUUUAAAUAUCCUAAAUACAGGUCAUUCUAAAUUUUAAAAAAUGAAGAUUUGAAUUACAUUUCUGUUAAAGGUAUAUACACAACUAGCUUAAUAUAAUCCUAUAAUAAUGUACAGUGUUUAUAAACUUGUAGAAAAUCAUUUGAUGUUAGAUAUUAUUAAUAGGUAUAACAUUUAUGAUAAACCCAGGCAAUCAACACAAAGUAAGAUUACAUCCCCUUUUUUCAUAUUUAGAGAAAUAGUACACAUAAUCAUAGAAAGAUAGUCAUUUUUUUCUCCCAAUUUGGAAUCAAUUGCCAAUUUAAUCAAAAAUGCAUUACAGUUUAGAUAGAAGUUCAAAUAAUUUCAAAUUCUAUCUUUAAUGAAUAUCAAUUACAUGUUCCCUUGUGAAAUAAGUAACUACUUAUGCAUUUACUUUUGAUAAAGGAAAUUAAGUUUGACUAACCAUUUAACAUGAACACAUGCAUGCCACAUAGUUUUAAUGUAUAUUUCAGAAAUAUAAAAAAUCUUAUUUAUCUGAAGCAUGAAUUCUUUUCCAAUUAACUCUUAAAAAGUUAUCUUGAACAAAUUGUUAAUUGUGACAUUAGAGGUCAGAUUUGCAUGUUUAUGAACUCUCUAACUAUAAUAUCUCAUCUGAAGAAUGAAACACCAAUUUUCCACAGUUAAUGCUUUAUAUAUUGUUAUAUUUAAGAGGUAUGUUAUCAAAUACAUUUGACUCAUUAUGUUGUAGUUUAUAACUCAUGUUGGUCUUGAUGAAUUAUUUUUUAGCAAUUUAUUUAAAAUAUACAUACACAAAAAUGUGUAUCUGAAAUUUGUAAACAAUAAAACAG